rnacentral:rRNA from 1 species
CCUACGGGCGGCAGCAGUGGGGAAUUUUGGACAAUGGGCGCAAGCCUGAUCCAGCUAUUCCGCGUGUGGGAUGACGGCCCUCGGGUUGUAAACCACUUUAGUAGAGAACGAAAAGGAGCUAUCGAAUAAAUAGCUCUGCUGACGGUACUCUAAGAAUAAGCACCGGCUAACUACGUGCCAGCAGCCGGGGUAAUACGUAGGGUGCGAGCGUUGAUCGGAAUUACUGGGGGUAAAGGGGGUGCAGGCGGGUGGGUAAGACAGAUGUGAAAUCACCGGGCUUAACCUGGGAACCGCAUCUGUGACUGCUUGGCUAGAGUGCGUAAGAGGGAGGUGGAAUUACACGUGUAGCAGUGAAAUGCGUAGAUAUGUGGAAGAACACCGAUGGCGAAGGCAGCCGACUGGGACGCAACUGACGCUCAUACACGAAAGCGUGGGGAGCAAACAGGAUUAGAUACCCCUGUAGUC